AUUGAACGCUGGCGGCAUGCCUUACACAUGCAAGUCGAGCGGCAGCACGGGUGCUUGCACCUGGUGGCGAGUGGCGAACGGGUGAGUAAUACAUCGGAACAUGUCCUGUAGUGGGGGAUAGCCCGGCGAAAGCCGGAUUAAUACCGCAUACGAUCUACGGAUGAAAGCGGGGGACCUUCGGGCCUCGCGCUAUAGGGUUGGCCGAUGGCUGAUUAGCUAGUUGGUGGGGUAAAGGCCUACCAAGGCGACGAUCAGUAGCUGGUCUGAGAGGACGACCAGCCACACUGAGACUGAGACACGGCCCAGACUCCUACGGGAGGCAGCAGUGGGGAAUUUUGGACAAUGGGCGAAAGCCUGAUCCAGCAAUGCCGCGUGUGUGAAGAAGGCCUUCGGGUUGUAAAGCACUUUUGUCCGGAAAGAAAUCCUUGGCUCUAAUACAGUCGGGGGAUGACGGUACCGGAAGAAUAAGCACCGGCUAACUACGUG
rnacentral:rRNA from 1 species